rnacentral:rRNA from 1 species
CAGGACGAACGCUGGCGGCGUGCCUAAUACAUGCAAGUCGAACGCUUCUUUUUCCACCGGAGCUUGCUCCAYCGGAAAAAGAGGAGUGGCGAACGGGUGAGUAACACGUGGGUAACCUGCCCAUCAGAAGGGGAUAACACUUGGAAACAGGUGCUAAUACCGUAUAACAAUCGAAACCGCAUGGUUUUGAUUUGAAAGGCGCUUUCGGGUGUCGCUGAUGGAUGGACCCGCGGUGCAUUAGCUAGUUGGUGAGGUAACGGCUCACCAAGGCGACGAUGCAUAGCCGACCUGAGAGGGUGAUCGGCCACAUUGGGACUGAGACACGGCCCAAACUCCUACGGGAGGCAGCAGUAGGGAAUCUUCGGCAAUGGACGAAAGUCUGACCGAGCAACGCCGCGUGAGUGAAGAAGGUUUUCGGAUCGUAAAACUCUGUUGUUAGAGAAGAACAAGGAUGAGAGUAACUGUUCAUCCCUUGACGGUAUCUAACCAGAAAGCCACGGCUAACUACGUGCCAGCAGCCGCGGUAAUACGUAGGUGGCAAGCGUUGUCCGGAUUUAUUGGGCGUAAAGCGAGCGCAGGCGGUUUCUUAAGUCUGAUGUGAAAGCCCCCGGCUCAACCGGGGAGGGUCAUUGGAAACUGGGAGACUUGAGUGCASAAGAGGAGAGUGGAAUUCCAUGUGUAGCGGUGAAAUGCGUAGAUAUAUGGAGGAACACCAGUGGCGAAGGCGGCUCUCUGGUCUGUAACUGACGCUGAGGCUCGAAAGCGUGGGGAGCAAACAGGAUUA